UACGAAGGGGGCUAGCGUUGCUCGGAAUUACUGGGCGUAAAGCGCACGUAGGCGGCUUUCUAAGUCGGGGGUGAAAUCCUGGAGCUCAACUCCAGAACUGCCUUCGAUACUGGAAGGCUCGAGUCCGGGAGAGGUGAGUGGAACUGCGAGUGUAGAGGUGAAAUUCGUAGAUAUUCGCAAGAACACCAGUGGCGAAGGCGGCUCACUGGCCCGGUACUGACGCUGAGGUGCGAAAGCGUGGGGAGCAAACAGG
rnacentral:rRNA from 1 species